GACGAACCGUGCAAACGUUAUUCGGAAUCACUGGGCUUAAAGGGCGCGUAGGCGGCUUUCUAAGUCAGGGGUGAAAUCCGGCAGCUCAACUGUCGCAGUGCCUUUGAUACUGGAGAGCUCGAGGGAGGUAGGGGUCUGUGGAACUUCCGGUGGAGCGGUGAAAUGCGUUGAUAUCGGAAGGAACGCCGGUGGCGAAAGCGACGGACUGGAUCUCUUCUGACGCUGAGGCGCGAAAGCUAGGGGAGCAAACAGG
rnacentral:rRNA from 1 species